GGUGCCAUAGCUCAGUGGUAGAGCAUUUGCUUAGCGUGCAGAAGGUCUCAGGUUCAAUCCCCAGCAGCUCCA